GCGAUCAUAGCUCAGUUGGUUAGAGCACAAGAUUGUGAAUCUUGGGGUCGCGGGUUCGAGUCCCGUUGGUCGCCCCA
rnacentral:tRNA from 1 species